CCUCAAUUAAAGCAAAACUCAAUUAAAGCAAAAAUCAACCCAAAGCUCAGGCUAACACGCACAAGUUCGUUCGUUAUUGAACACAUCAACAGAAACCCAAAACCAGUAGCAGCAACUGUUCAUCAACCCAAAGCUCAGGCUAACACGCACAAGUUCGUUCGUUAUUGAACACAUCAACAGAAACCCAAAACCAGUAGCAGCAACUGUUCAUCAACCCAAAGCUCAGGCUAACACGCACAAGUUCGUUCGUUAUUGAACACAUCAACAGAAACCCAAAACCAGUAGCAGCAACUGUUCAUCAACCCAAAGCUU
rnacentral:lncRNA from 1 species